CAGCAGCAGCCGCGGGAAAACGUAGGGUGCAAGCGUUAAUCGGAAUUACUGGGCGUAAAGCGUGCGCAGGCGGUUAUAUAAGACAGAUGUGAAAUCCCCGGGCUCAACCUGGGAACUGCAUUUGUGACUGUAUAGCUAGAGUACGGCAGAGGGGGAUGGAAUUCCGCGUGUAGCAGUGAUAUGCGUAGAUAUGCGGAGGAACACCGAUGGCGAAGGCAAUCCCCUGGGCCUGUACUGACGCUCAUGCACGAAAGCGUGGGGAGCAAACAGGAUUAGAUACCCCAGUAGUCCCUGUCUCUUAUAC
rnacentral:rRNA from 1 species